UGCAUUCUGCUCUGUGAACUCCAGACCUCUCGUCCUGUCAGAGGUGAAGAAGUACUCUGCUCUGCUGAAGUCAGACUUCAAAAACAGAAAACUGUUGAUUACAGGUCUAGGUCCUCCCAGUCACGAGGCUGCACCUCUCAAGAAACAGGAUGACUCCCAAGAUGGCCCCUUUGCUCCUCUUCCUUGUGGUCAU